rfam:Lactobacillus floricola DSM 23037 = JCM 16512 strain DSM 23037 NODE_53, whole genome shotgun sequence.
AUAGCGUAAUGAUGAUGGAAUUAAAUUCCAAGUCUAGCUUAGAUAAUAAUUAAAAUUUUAUUAUC